rnacentral:rRNA from 1 species
UACGAAGGGGGCUAGCGUUGCUCGGAAUCACUGGGCGUAAAGGGUGCGUAGGCGGGUCUUUAAGUCAGGGGUGAAAUCCUGGAGCUCAACUCCAGAACUGCCUUUGAUACUGAAGAUCUUGAGUUCGGGAGAGGUGAGUGGAACUGCGAGUGUAGAGGUGAAAUUCGUAGAUAUUCGCAAGAACACCAGUGGCGAAGGCGGCUCACUGGCCCGAUACUGACGCUGAGGCACGAAAGCGUGGGGAGCAAACAGGGAUUAAGAAACCCCGGA